GCCGGUUUAGCUCAGUUGGUAGAGCAGCGCAUUCGUAAUGCGAAGGUCGGGAGUUCAAGUCUUCUAACCGGCACCA
rnacentral:tRNA from 6 species